rnacentral:ncRNA from 1 species
AGACUUAGUCCUAACCUUACAGUUAGUUAUUGUCAAAUAUAUACAUGCAAGUAUCCGCACUCCAGUGUAAAUGCCCACGACAUCCUCCACAAAACAGGAAAGAGGAGCGGGUAUCAGGCACACUAAAACGUAGCCCAAGACGCCUUGCCCAGCCACACCCCCAAGGGUACUCAGCAGUAAUUAACAUUAAGCCAUAAGUGAAAACUUGACUUAGCUAUGACAACCAACCACACCAGGGCUGGUAAAUCUUGUGCCAGCCACCGCGGUCAUACAAGAAGCCCAAAUUAACUGUCACCGGCGUAAAGAGUGGUACUACACUAUCAUUCAACUAAGACCAAAAUGCAACUGAGCUGUCAUAAGCCCACGAUGCACUUAAGACCGCCCUCAAAACGAUCUUAGCAUAAUGAUCUAUAAAACACCACGAAAGCCAAGACACAAACUGGGAUUAGAUACCCCACUAUGCUUGGCCCUAAAUCCAGAUACCUACUCCACUAAAGUAUCCGCCCGAGAACUACGAGCACAAACGCUUAAAACUCUAAGGACUUGGCGGUGCUCCAAAACCACCUAGAGGAGCCUGUUCUGUAAUCGAUAACCCACGAUACACCCAACCCCUUCUAGCCCAAAGCAGCCUACAUACCGCCGUCCCCAGCCCACCUCCCUGAGAGUUCAAGCAGUGGGCACAACAGCAUACCGCUAAUAAGACAGGUCAAGGUAUAGCCCAUGAAGGGGAAGAAAUGGGCUACAUUUUCUAAAAUAGAAAACUUCACGAAAGGAGAUCUGAAAAGAUCCCCAGAAGGAGGAUUUAGAAGUAAAGAGGGGCAAGAAUACCCCCUUAAACUCGGCCCUGGAGCACGUACAUACCGCCCGUCACCCUCCUCAAAACCCCAAGAAUACCAGUAAAUAACAAGCACAGUUGGUCAAAGAUGAGGUAAGUCGUAACAAGGUAAGUGUACCGGAAGGUGCACUUAGCAU